AUUGAACGCUGGCGGCAUGCUUUACACAUGCAAGUCGAACGGCAGCGCGGGCUUCGGCCUGGCGGCGAGUGGCGAACGGGUGAGUAAUGCAUCUGAACGUGCCCAGUAGUGGGGGAUAGCCCGGCGAAAGCCGGAUUAAUACCUCAUACGACCUGAGGGUGAAAGCGGGGGCCCGAAAGGCCUCGCGCUAUUGGAGCGGCCGAUGUCGGAUUAGCUAGUUGGUGGGGUAAAGGCUUACCAAGGCGACGAUCCGUAGCUGGUCUGAGAGGACGACCAGCCACACUGGGACUGAGACACGGCCCAGACUCCUACGGGAGGCAGCAGUGGGGAAUUUUGGACAAUGGGGGCAACCCUGAUCCAGCCAUGCCGCGUGCGGGAAGAAGGCCUUCGGGUUGUAAACCGCUUUUGUUCGGGAAGAAAUCCUCUGGGCUAAUACCCCGGGGGGAUGACGGUACCGGAAGAAUAAGCACCGGCUAACUACGUG
rnacentral:rRNA from 1 species